GCCCAGAUAGUUCAGUUGGUUAGAACAUAGUGCCGAUAAUGCCAAGGUUGCAGGUUCAAUCCCCAUAUGGGACA